rnacentral:rRNA from 1 species
CGUAGCGCACAGCUCAGUAGCACGUGGCCAACCUGCCCUUGGGACGGAAGCAACCCCGGGAAACUGGGGCUAAUUUCCGAUAGGGGAAGACUCCUGGAAUGGAUUUUCGCCUAAAAGGCGCUUAGAGCAUGCUUCUAGGUGUUGCCCAAGGAUGGGGCCGCGGCCGAUCAGGUUGUUGGUGAGGUAACGGCUCACCAAGCCUUUAACCGGUGCGGGCCGUGGGAGCGGGAGCCCGGAGAUGGGCACUGAGACAAGGGCCCAGGCCCUACGGGGCGCAGCAGUCGCGAAAACUUCGCAAUAAGCGAAAGCUUGACGGGGCUAUCCCGAGUGCCAUCCGCUGAGGAUGGCUUUUCCCUAGUAUAGAUAGCUGGGGGAAUAAGGAGAGGGCAAGUCUGGUGUCAGCCGCCGCGGUAAUACCAGCUCUCCGAGUGGUGGGGAUGAUUAUUGGGCCUAAAGCAUCCGUAGCCGGCUGGGCAAGUCCCCUGUUAAACCCAGCGAUCUAAUCGUUGGCCUGCGGGGGAUACUGCUUGGCUAGGGGGCGAGAGAGGCCGUCGGUAUUCCCGGGGUAGGGGUGAAAUCCUAUAAUCCCGGGAGGACCACCAGUGGCGAAGGCUGUCGGCUAGAACGCGCCCGACGGUGAGGGAUGAAAGCUGGGGGAGCGAACCGGAUUAGAUACCCGGGUAGUCCCAGCUGUAAACGAUGCAGGCUAGGUGUUAGGGCGGCCACGUGCCGCUCUAGUGCCGCAGGGAAGCUGUUAAGCCUGCCGCCUGGGGAUACGGCCGCAAGGCUGAACUUAAAGGCCA